CUGUUAUCCCCACGGUAACUUGAUUGAGUCCUUUUUAUGGGUGAUGUAAAUAUUAUAGAUGAAAAGAUUUAGUUUUGUACCGCCCCAGUUAAAAAAUUAUUUAAAGUUCGAUGGGGUCUUGUCGUCUUCUCGUAUGAUUUAAGCCUUUUUACUUAAAUGUAAAUUUUAAGGAGUCAUUAUAAUAAAGAAUUCAACUCGUUAAUCCUUUCAUUCUGGCCUUAAAUUGAAAGGCAAGUGAUUAUGCUACCUUAGCACGUAAAUUUGCGGCUAUUUAUAAUUCAUUGAGCAGGAGGUACUAAUUA
rnacentral:rRNA from 1 species